rnacentral:rRNA from 1 species
UACAGAGGGGGCGAGCGUUGUUCGGAAUUACUGGGCGUAAAGGGCGCGUAGGCGGCCAACUAAGUCAGACGUGAAAUCCCUCGGCUCAACCGGGGAACUGCGUCUGAUACUGGAUGGCUUGAAUUCGGGAGAGGGAUGCGGAAUUCCAGGUGUAGCGGUGAAAUGCGUAGAUAUCUGGAGGAACACCGGUGGCGAAGGCGGCAUCCUGGACCAAUUCUGACGCUGAGGAGCGAAAGCCAGGGGAGCAAACGGG